UCACCCAGUCACCCUUGUCUGCUGCUGCCGUUUCCUUCUCCCUUCCGCUGCUCUGCACGGCCAUGAGCCUCCCUGCAGCCGCCAUGUACCCGGAAUCGGCCGCGGGUCUUCACAAUUUAGAUAUAGCUCCGUCUUCCCUGUCACUGGGCCCGAGUCUUCCCUGCCGCCAGGGGGCCCGAGGCGGCGCCGCCCCUCUGCUCAGCCUCGCCUUCACCCUCGCUCGCCGACGAUCCGUACUGGUCCGACCUGCUCCACCGUACGGGUUUGCUUGCUUAUGGACCCGUUCUUGAAGCAUGCUUGCUUAUGGACCCAUUCUUGAAGUAGGAGAUUGCAGGUCGUUGUAUGUUCGUCCCUGCACCAAGGAGGACGCCCACCAUCUGUUUGUUGAAAUGCUCAAGCUGUGCUGAUGCUGCAGCAUCACGCCCCCUUGGGCCUUGGCACACCGCACAACGCCAUCGCAAACUCAGAGAGCACACCAGGAUUGGGGUAGACUGAUGACCUUGAGUACGCCAGAUGAAUCGAGACCAGUGCCCUGAAUAUAUUUUGUUGCUGUUUUGCCUACCUUAACAAUUCUACUGCUUAUUACCUGCUACUGAAUAUAUUAUUCAGCCUCCUGAUCAAAUCAAUUUUUUCAGCCUCCUGAUCAAAUCCAUGGUUUGCUUGAA